rnacentral:rRNA from 1 species
UACGUAGGUGGCAAGCGUUGUCCGGAAUUAUUGGGCGUAAAGCGCGCGCAGGCGGUUCUUUAAGUCUGAUGUGAAAGCCCACGGCUCAACCGUGGAGGGUCAUUGGAAACUGGGGAACUUGAGUACAGAAGAGGAAAGCGGAAUUCCACGUGUAGCGGUGAAAUGCGUAGAGAUGUGGAGGAACACCAGUGGCGAAGGCGGCUUUCUGGUCUGUAACUGACGCUGAGGUGCGAAAGCGUGGGGAGCAAACAGG